rnacentral:rRNA from 1 species
GGGUGAGUAAUGUCUGGGAAACUGCCUGAUGGAGGGGGAUAACUACUGGAAACGGUAGCUAAUACCGCAUAACGUCGCAAGACCAAAGAGGGGGACCUUCGGGCCUCUUGCCAUCGGAUGUGCCCAGAUGGGAUUAGCUAGUAGGUGGGGUAACGGCUCACCUAGGCGACGAUCCCUAGCUGGUCUGAGAGGAUGACCAGCCACACUGGAACUGAGACACGGUCCAGACUCCUACGGGAGGCAGCAGUGGGGAAUAUUGCACAAUGGGCGCAAGCCUGAUGCAGCCAUGCCGCGUGUAUGAAGAAGGCCUUAGGGUUGUAAAGUACUUUCAGCGGGGAGGAAGGUGAUAAG